CCUCAGUAACGGCGAGUGAAGCGGUAACAGCUCAAAUUUGAAAUCUGGGCCUUUCAGGCUCCGAGUUGUAAUUUGUAGAAGAUGCUUCGGGUGCGGCUCCGGUCUAAGUUCCUUGGAACAGGACGUCAUAGAGGGUGAGAAUCCCGUAUGUGAUCGGGGGCCUGCGCCCGUGUGAAGCUCUUUCGACGAGUCGAGUUGUUUGGGAAUGCAGCUCAAAAUGGGUGGUAAAUUUCAUCUAAAGCUAAAUAUUGGCCAGAGACCGAUAGCGCACAAGUAGAGUGAUCGAAAGAUGAAAAGCACUUUGGAAAGAGAGUUAAACAGUACGUGAAAUUGUUGAAAGGGAAGCGCUUGCAACCAGACUUGCGCGGGGCCGAUCAUCCGGGGUUCUCCCCGGUGCACUCGACCUCGCUCAGGCCAGCAUCGGUUUCGGUGGCGGGACAAAGGCUGCGGGAAUGUGGCUCCCCUCGGGGAGUGUUAUAGCCCGCGGUGCAAUGCCGCCUACCGGGACCGAGGACCGCGCUUCGGCUAGGAUGCUGGCGUAAUGGUUGUAAGCGACCCGUCUUGAAACACGGACCAAGGAGUCUAACAUCUAUGCGAGUGUUUGGGUGUCAAACCCAUACGCGUAAUGAAAGUGAACGGAGGUGAGAACCCUUAAGGGUGCAUCAUCGACCGAUCCUGAUGUCUUCGGAUGGAUUUGAGUAAGAGCAUAGCUGUUGGGACCCGAAAGAUGGUGAACUAUGCCUGAAUAGGGUGAAGCCAGAGGAAACUCUGGUGGAGGCUCGCAGCGGUUCUGACGUGCAAAUCGAUCGUCAAAUUUGGGUAUAGGGGCGAAAGA
rnacentral:rRNA from 1 species